UCUGUUUCUAUGAAAUGGUACUGCUUGACCAGAGCAUGAUUAACAGCUCUUCCUGGUCUGUGUGAAGGGCUGUAGAGGAUCGUUCUCAGCUGGGUUUCCUGGCUACGGUGGUCAUGCAGUUGUCUGACAGA
rnacentral:snoRNA from 1 species